CGAGUUUGUUCUCGGCCACCAAGAGCAAGUAUUUUCAAGGUCUUGGUGGCAAGCACCAGCCAAUCAAGGCCAGACGUUUGCUCUUUGUCGCUCAUGGCAAUUGUUUUCAAGCCAAUGGCUGCAAAUCAGGAACGAGUUUGGUUCUCGGCCACCAAGAGCAAGUAUUUUCAAGGU